rnacentral:lncRNA from 1 species
UAGUCACGUAGGACUACUCAGUCAGUAGCCUCGACAAAUCGGAGUGCGCCGCGUGGCAAGACAUGCUGAUCGAUGCCACGCGGGAGGCCAUGCUGGCGAUCGGCGUGUCCUACGAUUGGAUGACCCAGAAGCGAUCUCGUGCGUAUGAACGGUCUGGAUCUGUUUCUCCCUUAGGCGUGAUUAGACGGUCGAAAUCAAACGCGAUAAACGAUCUAGAUUUAUUUCUUCUUUAGGCACGAUCGAACAGUCGAGAUCAAAUGCGAUGAAUGGUUCAGAUUUAUAAUGACCCCGGAAAUAAAAAUGAAGAUGUAUGUAUUAAAAAUUCUAAGUGCGGAAGCGAAAUAAAAAUUCUGAUUUACAUCCCUUACACAAUAACCAUAAACAUAUUGAACUUAUGAAAGAAUAAGCUAAUUAAAAGAAAUACUCGAAAUGAAAACUAUAAAUAGAACUAUAAAAUCUUUAGCUGUCUAACUCGCCGUC